AAAUUUAUGAAAGAAACAAAUGGAAUUUCUUGAACAAGCCAGGUCUAUGUGUGGUUCCAGCAAAACCCAUUCUGGGGCAUGUUCUGCAAGGCAGCUGUUGGCAUGCCUUGAGACUCAAACCCAGACACAAGGGAGCUGAAAAACCCUGAGGAGAGAAUAAGGAAAUGUGGCAGUUAAGGCAUGGGCUGCAUGCUGUUCACGGCAAGUAUGGUGAUCCCAUAUGAUGUUUAGAGUUUGGAGCAUGGGAUUGCAUGAGCGGCUGCCUCUUUGUUU
rnacentral:lncRNA from 1 species